AGUAAUGUAUGGGGAUCUACCCGAUAGAGGGGGAUAACUACUGGAAACGGUGGCUAAUACCGCAUAAUGUCUACGGACCAAAGCAGGGGCUCUUCGGACCUUGCACUAUCGGAUGAACCCAUAUGGGAUUAGCUAGUAGGUGGGGUAAAGGCUCACCUAGGCGACGAUCUCUAGCUGGUCUGAGAGGAUGAUCAGCCACACUGGGACUGAGACACGGCCCAG
rnacentral:rRNA from 1 species